rnacentral:lncRNA from 1 species
CAGUGAGCUGGAGGGGCCGCGGCGGCGCCGGGGGUGCCAGCCGCCUCCUCUGGCCGCCGGCCCGUCGGCCCUGCAAAGUUUAACGCCAAUUCCCCUUGCGUCCUGGGAGCCGAGCGUUUUCUCUCCCUGCUGACGCUCCCAGCAGCUCUGCCUGGCCAGGCCAGGCUGGAGAGCACCCGGACCAUUUUCCAGACGGUGAGAUGGAGCCCUGGAAACCGAGCUUAUGAGCAGCCCGGAGCUUUCCAUUGCCUGCCCAGCCUUCCAGAUACAUCCCAGUUCCAGUUCUUUCCAGAGCCCUCUGGGAUCCAGCCAGCCUGCUUCCCCGCCAGGGCCUCACUGCUUCCAAAGUGAGUCCCCAUAACCUAGAAAGUCUGUAACUCUGUGGAUCUGGUGACAGCUGUGAAUCUACUAGAACACUACACAUAGCCACAAAAUCGUGCAUCUAACACGAGGGGGUCUGGACCCCUCUGAAGCCCAAUCACGAACUCUAAAUUAAGAUCCACCUCCACUUUUUAAUCUGAGCCCUGUCUCCCAUAACCCCACUGCCGGCAGGGCACUAGCGCUGCGAGGCUUCCUCUCAGGUCAGCCGCUUGCCUCUUCCUGUACCCGCUUCCCUAUCUGAGCAGGACUACAAGGCCCACCUCUGCAGCAUUCUUGCCCAGGCCUGAUUCUCAAGCAAAGUCUUUUCUCCACAAAUAGAGCCUACUUCCCAGAAAUUUGGUGGCUGCCUCUGUGCUAUGAUUUGGUUGCUACCUGCUGAAGCUUCAACCUCUCAUCACUACCAGAAGGACCACAUCACUAAAAGUCCAUCAAUGGGGUUACUCACUUUGAUGGGCCUGUGCAGCGUCAUUCAGGAAGCCCGUGGUACUCACAUCACUCUGGCCAGACGCUAACAAGAAAAUGAUCCACUGUGACGCAGCCGACCCCAUCCAGUGCAUCCACAUUACCUGGAAAGAAGCAAUUAUGCCCCUUUGGUUUCCUUGGAAAUGCUUGGUCUGUCUCUACCAUCCGCCCUGGCUCUUGAGAAAUACUCAUGCACGGUAGAGCUUUGACAGGGAGACAGUGUGUUUAUUUUCCAACUGAAAGUUUACAGAAUACAAAGUGAGCCUGUAAGAUGGUGGCCACUCUCCAGAGGCUUGUUGGUCAGACAGGAAAGAAAACCAGUGCACCAUCGGGAACGUGGAGGAGGCUGAAAGAGAGGGACAAACAUAUUGGAUUGGAUUGGGCCCCCACAGUCAAGUUCCUGCAAACCAAGCUGGGAGAUUUUCCUGACUAAGGGUUAUGUUCUUGGGCCUCAAAGCUCCCCAGCCAACGCCCAGCUUCUGUGCCGAGGAGGAUACAGGAGGACAGACACAGCCUCUGUGUCAGGAGGAGGGAAGAAGGACUAAUGUCUGUGGACACUCUGAGGCUCACAGGGAGAAGCCACACACUCGCAGCACCAGAUGAGUAAACAGAGGCUUGGAGGGGUGAUGAAAUUUGCCAACAGUCAUCAAUCGUUCCAGGAACAGGUGAUGCUUCCCGGCAGUGAGACUCGAAACCAGCGGGAGUUCCCAGCCAGAGACAUGAUCUAAGUGCCAAUGGCUGAAUGUCUGUGAGCAUUUCAAGUCAUUUUAAGAAUAGGCAACAUUAGCGGCACCAUUAAAGCCUGCUGUUCCUCCAGCCCAUCACUGCCAUCCCCACCUAUUAAAAUAAUGGCAUGAAAAAUAAACAGCCUUUAUGUACA